rnacentral:rRNA from 1 species
AGAGGUUUGAUUCCUGGCUUCCAGGACGAACGCUGGCGGCGUGCUUUAACACAUUGCAAGUCGAAGCGGUAAGGCCCUUCGGGGUACACGAGCGGCGAACGGGUGAGUAACACGUGAGCAACCUGCCCCUGACUCCGGGAUAAGCGGUGGAAACGCCGUCUAAUACCGGAUACGACCCGCCACCUCAUGGUGGAGGGUGGAAAGUUUUAUCGGUCAGGGAUGGGCUCGCGGCCUAUCAGCUUUGUUGGUGGGGUAACGGCCUACCAAGGCGAUUACGGGUAGCCGGCCUGAGAGGGCGACCGGCCACACUGGGACUGAGACACGGCCCAGACUCCUGCGGGAGGCAGCAGUGGGGAAUAUUGCACAAUGGGCGAAAGCCUGAUGCAGCGACGCCGCGUGGGGGAUGACGGCCUUCGGGUUGUAAACCUCUUUUACCACCAACGCAGGCUCCACGUUCUCGUGGGGUUGACGGUAGGUGGGGAAUAAGGACCGGCUAACUACGUGCCAGCAGCCGCGGUAAUACGUAGGGUCCGAGCGUUGUCCGGAAUUAUUGGGCGUAAAGAGCUCGUAGCGGCAUGUCGCGUCUGCUGUGAAAGACCGGGGCUUAACUCCGGUUCUGCAGUGGAUACGGGCAUGCUAGAGGUAGGUAGGGGAAACUGGAAUUCCUGGUGUAGCGGUGAAAUGCGCAGAUAUCAGGAGGAACACCGGUGGCGAAGGCGGGUUUCUGGGCCUUACCUGACGCUGAGGAGCGAAAGCAUGGGGAGCGAACAGGAUUAGAUACCCUGGUAGUCCAUGCCGUAAACGUUGGGCGCUAGGUGUGGGGACUUUCCACGGUUUCCGCGCCGUAGCUAACGCAUUAAGCGCCCCGCCUGGGGAGUACGGCCGCAAGGCUAAAACUCAAAGGAAUUGACGGGGGCCCGCACAAGCGGCGGAGCAUGUUGCUUAAUUCGACGCAACGCGAAGAACCUUACCAAGGUUUGACAUCACCCGUGGACCUGUAGAGAUACAGGGUCAUUUAGUUGGUGGGUGACAGGUGGUGCAUGGCUGUCGUCAGCUCGUGUCGUGAGAUGUUGGGUUAAGUCCCGCAACGAGCGCAACCCUUGUUCCAUGUUGCCAGCACGUAAUGGUGGGGACUCAUGGGAGACUGCCGGGGUCAACUCGGAGGAAGGUGGGGACGACGUCAAGUCAUCAUGCCCCUUAUGUCUUGGGCUGCAAACAUGCUACAAUGGCCGGUACAAUGGGCGUGCGAUACCGUAAGGUGGAGCGAAUCCCUUAAAGCCGGUCUCAGUUCGGAUUGGGGUCUGCAACUCGACCCCAUGAAGGUGGAGUCGCUAGUAAUCGCGGAUCAGCAACGCCGCGGUGAAUACGUUCCCGGGCCUUGUACACACCGCCCGUCACGUCAUGAAAGUCGGCAACACCCGAAACUUGUGGCCUAACCCUUCGGGGAGGGAAUGAGUGAAGGUGGGGCUGGCGAUUGGGACGAAGUCGUAACAAGGUACCCGUAG